rnacentral:rRNA from 1 species
CCUACGGGAGGCAGCAGUGGGGAAUUUUGGACAAUGGGGGCAACCCUGAUCCAGCAAUGCCGCGUGAGUGAAGAAGGCCUUCGGGUUGUAAAGCUCUUUUGUCAGGGAAGAAACGGUGUGAGCUAAUAUCUCAUGCUAAUGACGGUACCUGAAGAAUAAGCACCGGCUAACUACGUGCCAGCAGCCGCGGUAAUACGUAGGGUGCAAGCGUUAAUCGGAAUUACUGGGCGUAAAGCGUGCGCAGGCGGUUUUGUAAGACUGUCGUGAAAUCCCCGGGCUCAACCUGGGAAUGGCGAUGGUGACUGCAAGGCUAGAGUUUGGCAGAGGGGGGUAGAAUUCCACGUGUAGCAGUGAAAUGCGUAGAUAUGUGGAGGAACACCGAUGGCGAAGGCAGCCCCCUGGGUCAAAACUGACGCUCAUGCACGAAAGCGUGGGGAGCAAACAGGAUUAGAUACCCUGGUAGUCCACGCCCUAAACGAUGUCUACUAGUUGUCGGGUUUUAAUUAACUUGGUAACGCAGCUAACGCGUGAAGUAGACCGCCUGGGGGAGGUACGGUCGCGAGAAGUUAAACGUUAAAGUAAGUUAGUACGGUCGUGAGACGUGCCGACGGACGACGACGAGGGAGGAGG